rnacentral:lncRNA from 1 species
UAUUUAGACGUUUCAUUUGUGUUUAUUUUGAAAUAAUUUUAUACAUUACAGAAGAUAGUAGAGUUGCCAUAUAUCCAUUCACUUCCCCUCAUAUUAGCACGUUACAUAACCAUGGUAAAACCAUCAAAAGUAAGAAAUUAACACUGUACGAUACCAUCAAAUACACAACAGACUUUAUUCAGAUUUCACCAGUUUUCCACUAAUGUCCCUUUUCUGUCUCAAGGUUCGAUCCAGGGUCCACAUUGUAUUUAUUGUUGUCUCUUUCACCUCCUCCAGUCUGACAGUUGCUCAGUUUAUCAUCGUCAUCCAUGACCUUGACACUCCUGAUGAGUACUAGUCAGAUUUUCUGUAAAAUAUCUCUCCAUUUUCACUUGUUUGGGGAUUUCUCGUACUCAGACUAGAGUUGUGCACUAAUGAGAAAGAUAUCACAGAGGUGGGGGCCCUUCCAGAUGCAUCACAUCAGGGGUUCAUGUCCUAUUACUGAUAUGUCAACUCUGCUCACUUGGAUAAAGUGGUACCUACUGUGUUUUUAGUGACUGUAAAGCUACACUUUUCCCCUUUGUAAACAGUAAAUAUUUGAGGAGCAAUAUUUUGAGGCUAAGUUUUUGCCCAGUCAUUUUAGCAUUCAUGAGUGGACCCUGCCUACAGCAAUUUUUACCAUUGUUCCAGGGUUCUAGUGAUGAUUUGCUAUUUCCUUCUUCCUUUUUACAUUUAUUAAUCGAAAUUCUUCUGUAAGGAGGAGUUAUCUUUCCUCUACCGUUUACUUAUUCAAUCAUUUAUUAAUGUCAGCAUGAACUUCACUGUUUCAUAAUCCAACAUUUUAUUCAGUUAUUGAAAUGUUUCCAGCUUUGGCCACUGAAAACAACUCCAGUUUGGUGCCUGUGUCCUUUCAACGUGCCCCCGUCUUUAAUACUUCUUUACCUGUUGGUACUACAAGAUUCUCCAGGCUUAUCUUGCAUCAUCCCUGCCCCAGCCCUAGAAUCAAUCAUUUCUCCAAGGACGUGUAUAGGUGUUUUAAAUCCUAGGAGUGGAUAGUUUAGAACCCCCCACUCUCACCCAGGGAAAGAAAAUAGUCAGAAAAGAAGCUGGAAGGCCCUUGAAUGAAGCCAGCAUUUGGGGGUUGAAUAAAGGACUGUCAGAGAUGUCUGUGGAAACUCAGAGCAGGUGGCAGGGAAGCCAAGAAAAGACACCCCCUAGAGCAUCCUAGCUGAUCCAGCCAUCUUUUAUCUUACCAUUUCCUCUCUUCCAGCCGGACGGCCAGUAAGUCCUGGGUGAACCAAGUCCUCAACUCUGCAAAACUGCAGUAAACACAACUACAACAAAUUCAGCCAAUGGACUUUAGUCUUUCAUGACUCUAACUGAAAUGUGUUUCCUCUCUUCUCUCUCAAUCCAAACCCCACUCGUCUUUACAAGUAGGGAAAAUUGCGUCUUUUCCCUGAAACUCUUCCCAGGGCUCAGCCUAUAUUUAUCGUUUACUUUAUAAGAAUACCCUAGCUCUUAUCUCUUCAGUCAAGGAAUGCUUGGAUUAUACUCUCUAAAACAUGUUUUUUCUAUUUGUCCCAUAUUACAUGUUCCCGCAAAAUACUGUGGCUCCUUUAGGUCAGAGGCCAGACCUCAUGCUCUGGUACACUCAGCCAGUUAGCAAUAUCCAAAUAUCUAAUAGGCAUUUAAUAAAUAUAUGUUGUUUUGACAUUUAUAUUAAUAAAUCAAUCAUUAUAUUGAGUCAUCAAGUAAAUAGUUGAGCACUGGGAAGAUUCCAGGAGCUAUCUUAUCUAUGCAGGAAUGUUAAAAACUGCUCAUUAAGAUGCAAAUUUAGGCCAGCUAUAUGAAUUGCUAUGGCUUUGAUGAUAUUCCAAGAAAAUGUAACCCUGAGCCAGGACAAUUCUUAUUUCUUGCCAGGAAAUAAUUCAUUAGGAUAUUUAUGGCUUAUCUAUUAAUAAAGUAAGUCCUUAUAAUAUUUUACAUGACCUUUUCUUGCUUUGUUUUAUAAAAAUUAUCUGAUCUACUUCCAUUUUUAAAAUUAAGUAUCUGUUACAUAAUUACUAGUAUGCAAAGCUAUCAAAUUUUCAAGAUUGCAAAUGGGAGAGUAAAUAUGAAAUUUGUUGAUUUUUUAAAAAGAUCAAUAUCAUGGUUUUUAUUAAAAAUAGUAUUUAUUUGGACUUUCUGCUGUGAUGCAGUGGGUUAAGAAUCUGACUGCAGUGGCUCAGAAUGUUGCAGAGGUGCGGAUUUGAUUCUCGGCUUGGUGUACUGGGUUAAAGGGUCUGGAUUAGCUGCAGCUGCAGUGUAGGUCAUAGCUGCAGCUCAGAUUCAAUUCCUGGCCUGCAAACUUCCAUAUGCCAUCAGUGUGGCCCUAAAAAAAAAAAAUGUAUAUAUAUAUAUAUAGUAUUUAUUUGUUGAAAAAAAUCAAGAAAAUACAGAUAAGCAAAGAGAAAAAAAUCUUAUAAUCCCAAAAUCCAGAAACACAUACCAUUUUUCCUAGCUUUAUUGAGGUGUAAUUGGACCAUCUACAUUUUAGAACAUACCAUAUGUAUAUAUAAGGGAUUUGUGUGAUCAUUUUAUACAAAUUACUUUGUAACUUACUUUUUUUAACUUAAUGUUUCCUAUUUUUCACAUCAUUAAAUAUUUCCUACAUGUCUUCCCCUGUGAUUAUGAAUGGAAUUUUAUAGAUUGGAUGUAUUACACCUUAUUAAACUUGUCUUUAUGCUUGGAUAUUAAGGUACUUCCAAUUUUCUCCCAAUAUAUGCCACAAUGAACAUUCGUAUAUAUAAUUGUGAACACACUCAUAUUUCCUUAGCACAAAUUUCUAAAAGUGAGUCUGUCUGUGUAAACGGCGAUUCACAGUUUAGGAAUUUUUUGUUUCUGUUUGUGUCUGUGUGUUUCAAUGGCCCAACUGUUGUGCCAAUUUAUUAUCUCAACCAUUGGUAGUUAAAGCAGUUUUCAAAUAAUAUAUCAUCUCAUAUUUUUAAAGGAAUCUUGUUCCCCUCUUGAGAGCCUCCAAAAAGAUGAUAAAAUAAAGCUACAUGUUUUUUUUUCUAUUAUGGGAGUGCCCUUCCUCCUGAAACUUUGAUUAAUUUUUUAAUAUUUUGCUUCCUGCUAUAAAAAAUGCACAACAACACACAUUAUUUAUUGUGAGUUGCAAAGAAAGUACAAGGUCAUCUAAAGAAGAAAAGUUCCAAGGAGCAUGGCAACAGAAAGAAGAAAAAAAAACCAAAAUUAAUUACACUCAUAUUUGGAAAUCCCUUGUCAAGAGCAAUUACUUUAAAAGUAAUCUUAUUGCAUACUUUGGUAUUUAUAUUUGCAAGAAAGAUAGUUUUUUGCACUUUUAUUUCAUAUUCACCAGUUUUUCUUAUAUAAAAAAAGAAUCUGGAUCAGCCAACUAUUGAAGGAUAGCUGUCACAUUUAAAACAAAUUUCCCAGUAAAAAUGCAAUCAUUAGUUCUUUAUUUGUAGUUAUUUAUACACUGCACAAAGACCAAGAGGGCCAAGAAAAAGGGAAAUACAAAUUCAUUAACAUCAUGGUUCUGCUUGAACUUCAAAUUUGGUUUCAUGGAUUAUUCUUUCCUGUUUGGGACAUAAGUCUUUCUGGUUAAUACAUGUUUCAGAUUUAUUUCACUUGCAACAUUGAGAGGGUGAUGCAGUAACUUCCAGUUAUUAAUGUCUAUGUCAAGAGAAAAAUUAAAGAAAAACAUAGCUGAUAUACACACUUCCCCAUUUCUAUAGAUUAAAAACCAGAAGAGCAAAAAAGGUUGUUACUUUCAAAAGUGUGAGAAGUUUUUAAAAAACAGUCUACUUUCUUUCCCCCUUAAAGAUCUGAAAGGCAGAGGAUGAAAUCAACCUACAUUUUUUUUCUCUACUUGCCUAACAUCAAUCAUGGGUGACUAAACAUCUACAUAUUUACUUCAAAUUGAAAAGUCCUUUAAACUAAUGCUGUUUUCUUCACGUAUUCUUAAAUUAAUAGUGAAUUCUUAAAGUAUGAAGGAGAUGAAGUUGGUGUCCAGGAAAAAGAAACAUUCUAUUGAUCCCUACUGAGACAUUAAGAAAGCCUAAGCAGUCUACUGGGCAGUAUCGAUAGUGCAAAGGAGAGCUAGUAAUCCAAAACAGAACUGCGUAGUGUUUCCACCGUGGCUCAUUGGGUUAAGAACCUGACACAGUAUUCAACAGGAUGCAGGGUUCUAUCCCUGGCCUUGCUCAGUGGGUUAAGGAUCUGGUGUUGCCACAAGGUGUGGUAUAGGUGGCAGAUGCGCCUUGGAUCCUGAGUCACUGUCACGGUGGCAUAGGCCAGCAGCUGUAGCUCCAAUUCAACCUGUAGCCUAGGAAUUUCCAUGCAUCGCAGGUGUGGCAAU